rnacentral:rRNA from 1 species
CGUAGGGUGCAAGCGUUGUCCGGAAUUAUUGGGCGUAAAGAGCUCGUAGGUGGUUUGUCGCGUCUGCUGUGAAAACUGGAGGCUCAACCUCCAGCCUGCAGUGGGUACGGGUAGACUAGAGUGCGGUAGGGGAGAUUGGAAUUCCUGGUGUAGCGGUGGAAUGCGCAGAUAUCAGGAGGAACACCGAUGGCGAAGGCAGAUCUCUGGGCCGUAACUGAUGCUGAGGAGCGAAAGCGUGGGGAGCGAACAGGAUUAGAUACCCUGGUAGUCCACGCCGUAAACGUUGGGAAUUAGAUGUGGGGUCCAUUCCACGGAUUCCGUGUCGCAGCUAACGCAUUAAGUUCCCCGCCUGGGGAGUACGGCCGCAAGGCUA